rnacentral:rRNA from 1 species
AUGCUUGUUCUGUGCACAGCCCGGCGCCUCCACGCGCUGCGUGACCCUUCCGUCAUGUUGAAGCUUGACAUAUCCAAGGCCUUCGACUCAAUCCAAUGGCCUUUCCUACUUGAGGUGAUGAGAGAGAUGGGUUUUGGGCGGAGAUGGAUCACUUGGAUCUGUGGCAUGCUCUCCACCUCGUCCACCAGAAUUUUGGUCAAUGGGAGGCCGGGUGACGUCAUCUUUAACUACCGCGGGCUCAGACAAGGGGGGCCGAUCUCUCCUAUGCUCUUCAUCCUAUGCAUGGAGCCGCUGCACCGGCUGUUUGUGAGAGCCACUAACACGGGUUUGCUGGACCCAUUGGCGCGCUCGGGCCUCAAACAAAGACUCUCCAUGUUCGUCGAUGAUGUCAUGGUAUUUCUCAAGCCAAAAUCUCAGGAGCUCUCUAUAUGCUCAUCGAUCCUCGACAUGUUCGGGCACGCUUCGGGGCUGCAUGUGAACCUUGCCAAGACGGCAGCCCUCCCCAUCCGGUGCUCCCAGGAGGAAAUGCAACUCGUCCGUGAUAUGCUUGGUUGCUCGACGGCGGAAUUCCCGUGCAAAUACCUUGGCCUCCCCCUCACCAUAAGGAAGCAAACGGCAGCGCAAUUUCGUGGACUCGUGGACCAGCUCGCCACGAUGCUGCCACACUGGAAGGCAGCGACCCUGCCAAGGAGCAGCAGACUACCUCUCAUCCAAUCAGUUCUCACGGCGAUACCCAUCCACUCCAUGUUAGCUCUGGGGCUGCCACCCAAAACGCUCGCAGCAAUGACCAAAAUAUGUCGAAGUUUUCUGUGGUGCGGCAAGGCGGAGGUAGGAGGAGGCGCAUGCGCAGUCGCCUGGGAUGUCGUCUGCCGUCCAAAGUGGGCAGGCGGUCUCGGCGUGCUGGACCUGCGUUGGAUGAAGGUAGCUCUGCAGACAAAGUGGAUGUGGUUAUAA